CUUCUUCUUAUUCUGACAACAAUGGAAGGACGAUUAGCUGUGGUGCUUUGUUUGAUAGUUGCAGUAUAUGCUUCGCCAAAUGCGACGCCAAUGAUAACCGCACCCGGUUGUGGGGUUGCAACUGGACGUGCACCAGAUCCAUUUAUCGUUGGUGGAGCUGAAGUCAGUCCCAGAUAUAAAUGGCCUUGGAUUGGAAGUCUCAGACGAUACGGUAGCCAUAUGUGUGGCGGUUCCUUGAUAAAAAGUCCGGCUGGUAAACACUUCUUCGUUACAGCUGCACACUGCACGUAUGGAACAAACGCUAAUACUUUCUCUGUAAAAUUCGGAUCCCAUUUCCGAACUGAUGAUUUGUCAGAAAGCAGUGCCCUUAAUGUGGAUGUUAGCAGGAUUAUCAACCACCCUAGCUAUAACCCAAACACCAUAGAAAACGACAUCUCAAUUCUCGUCCUUAGCAGUUCUGUUGUGGAAUCCAGCGAAAUUAGCCCCAUAUGUUAUGCCAGCAGAGAUCAUUACGCUAAUGAAAUGUGUACUGUAAUUGGUUGGGGAACAUUGGCUGAAUCAGGUUCUCUUGCUAGUCGUCUACAAGAAGCUUCUAAACCUAUUUUAUCCGAUUCUCAAUGUUCUUCUGAUCUUGGUUCUAACAGUUACUACUCUAACUCUAUGCUGUGUUCUGGUUAUGCUGCUGGUGGAGUAGAUACCUGCCAGGGUGACAGUGGAGGACCAUUUUUCUGUCAACGAAAUGGUGUAUGGGAACUCGUUGGUGUUGUAAGCUGGGGCUAUGGAUGUGCACGACCUGGUAGACCAGGAGUUUACGCUGAUAACUGGGAUCUUAGGUCCUGGGUUAGCUCCACCAUAAACUCAAACUAGAUGUUAAACCAUUCACUGAAUAAAGAUUUUUAUAUCUUUUCA